GACGAACGCUGGCGGCGUGGAUUAGGCAUGCAAGUCGAACGGUAGGAUACCUUCGGGUAUCUGAGAGUGGCGAACGGGUGAGUAACACGUAGGUGAUCUACCCUCAAGAUUGGGACAACCCAGGGAAACUUGGGCUAAUACCGGAUGUGAGCAACUUUUAGUUGUUUGAAAGGUGGCGUAAGCUGUCGCUUGGGGAUGAGCCUGCGUCCUAUUAGUUAGUUGGUGAGGUAACGGCUCACCUAGGCAAUGAUAGGUAGGCGGCCUUAACGGGUGGUCGCCCACACUGGGAUUGAGAUACGGCCCAGACUCCUACGGGAGGCAGCAGUCGAGAAUAGUCUACAAUGGUCGGAAGACUGAUAGUGCGACGCCGCGUGAACGAUGAAUCCCUUCGGGGUGUAAAGUUCUUUUAUAUGUGAGCAGUGCUUCUUAUAUUAACAGUAUGGGGAGAGAGAUAUUAGCAUAUGAAUAAGCAACGGCUAACUCCGUGCCAGCAGCCGCGGUAA
rnacentral:rRNA from 1 species